rnacentral:rRNA from 1 species
AGAGUUUGAUCCUGGCUCAGGACGAAUGCUGGCGGCGCGCCUAACACAUGCAAGUCGAACGGAGCUUAGAGAGCUUGCUUUUUAAGCUUAGUGGCGAACGGGUGAGUAACGCGUGAGUAACCUGCCCUAGAGUGGGGGACAACAGUUGGAAACGACUGCUAAUACCGCAUAAGCCCACGGGUCGGCAUCGACCAGAGGGAAAAGGAGCAAUCCGCUUUGAGAUGGCCUCGCGUCCGAUUAGCUAGUUGGUGAGGUAACGGCCCACCAAGGCGACGAUCGGUAGCCGGACUGAGAGGUUGAACGGCCACAUUGGGACUGAGACACGGCCCAAACUCCUACGGGAGGCAGCAGUGGGGAAUAUUGCACAAUGGGGGAAACCCUGAUGCAGCGACGCCGCGUGGAGGAAGAAGGUCUUCGGAUUGUAAACUCCUGUUGUUGAGGAAGAUAAUGACGGUACUCAACAAGGAAGUGACGGCUAAAUACGUGCCAGCAGCCGCGGUAAUACGUAGGGGGCGAGCGUUAUCCGGAUUCAUUGGGCGUAAAGCGCGCGUAGGCGGCCCGGCAGGCCGGGGGUCGAAGCGGGGGGCUCAACCCCCCGAAGCCCCCGGAACCUCCGCGGCUUGGGUCCGGUAGGGGAGGGUGGAACACCCGGUGUAGCGGUGGAAUGCGCAGAUAUCGGGUGGAACACCGGUGGCGAAGGCGGCCCUCUGGGCCGAGACCGACGCUGAGGCGCGAAAGCUGGGGGAGCGAACAGGAUUAGAUACCCUGGUAGUCCCAGCCGUAAACGAUGGACGCUAGGUGUGGGGGGACGAUCCCCCCGUGCCGCAGCCAACGCAUUAAGCGUCCCGCCUGGGGAGUACGGCCGCAAGGCUAAAACUCAAAGGAAUUGACGGGGGCCCGCACAAGCAGCGGAGCAUGUGGCUUAAUUCGAAGCAACGCGAAGAACCUUACCAGGGCUUGACAUAUGGGUGAAGCGGGGGAGACCCCGUGGCCGAGAGGAGCCCAUACAGGUGGUGCAUGGCUGUCGUCAGCUCGUGUCGUGAGAUGUUGGGUUAAGUCCCGCAACGAGCGCAACCCCCGCCGCGUGUUGCCAUCGGGUGAUGCCGGGAACCCACGCGGGACCGCCGCCGUCAAGGCGGAGGAGGGCGGGGACGACGUCAAGUCAUCAUGCCCCUUAUGCCCUGGGCUGCACACGUGCUACAAUGGCCGGUACAGAGGGAUGCCACCCCGCGAGGGGGAGCGGAUCCCGGAAAGCCGGCCCCAGUUCGGAUUGGGGGCUGCAACCCGCCCCCAUGAAGUCGGAGUUGCUAGUAAUCGCGGAUCAGCAUGCCGCGGUGAAUGCGUUCCCGGGCCUUGCACACACCGCCCGUCA